GAUGAACGCUGGCGGCGUGCUUAACACAUGCAAGUCGAACGGAAAGGCCCUGCUUGUCGGGUGCUCGAGUGGCGAAAGGGUGAGUAACACGUGGGUGUUCUGCGCUGUACAUUGUGAUAAGCCUGGGAAACAGGGGGUAAUAUAGAAUAUGACAAUUGUUUGGAUGUGAUUGGGGAAGGCUUUUGCGGUAUGGGAUGAGUGCGCGGCCUAUCAGUCUGUUGGUGGGGGAAUGGCCUACUAAGGGGUCGAUGGGUAGACGGCCUGAGAGGGUGUAUGGCCACAUUGUGAGUGUGAGACGGCGCAGACUCCUACGGGAGGCGGCAGUGGGGAGUAUUGCACAAUAGGGGCGGAACUGAGGCGGCGACGCCCCGUGUGGGAUGACGGCCUUCGGGUUGUGAACUCCUUUCGCGACCGACGAGGCGUUUUAGUGACGGUAGGUUGUGAAGAAGCACCGGCUAACUACGUG
rnacentral:rRNA from 1 species